rnacentral:lncRNA from 1 species
AAUUACAUUUAUUUUUUUUUAAAUUUUAUUUAUUUAUGAUAGGCACACAGUGAGAGAGAGAGAAGCAGAGACAUAGGCAGAGGGAGAAGCAGGCUCCAUGCACCGGGAGCCCGACGUGGGAUUCGAUUCAAGGUCUCCAGGAUCGCGCCCCGGGCCAAAGGCAGGCGCCAAACCACUGCGCCACCCAGGGAUCCCGGCAAAUUACAUUUAAAAGGAAAUUCUCAAUGCCAGUUGUGUGCUGACUGCCUGCUGCUUCCCAAGCCUGUAACAUAUUUCUUUUUAUUAAAAACAAAACGAAACAGAACCAUCCUGAAAGGAUUUUCAAUAUGAUGGGUUGGGAAUAUUCCUGUGGAGAAAUUCAAUUGUACUCUUUUCCUCAAAAUUAUAAUUAUGGAAAGAAGACAACAUGAGUAUGAGAAAAACAAACUCAGAAACUAAAAUCUGCAUCAUUUUAUUAAACAUUGUAAAACAUGAGGAAGAAAAUAUAAAAGUAUAAAGACUUACUAUACAUAGAAAAAUGAAUGUAUGUUUUGGAAAUGAUGUGUUUCCCAGUGGCAUUAAAAAUUCAGUGACACUUUAAACUGCAGUUUAGAUAGUAUGGAAAAUAAAAUUUGUGGACUGGAAAAUGAAUCCA